AAGCUUGGCGUGCUACACCGCCUGACGGAUGGCUCGGCUCGGGCGCUGAAGAAGGGCGUGGCAAGCUGCGAUAAGCCUCGGGUAGGCGCAUGCAGCCUUAGAUCCGAGGAUACCCUAAUGGGGCUUCCUGCCGCGAUAAACUCGCGGCGCUUCCGUUUAGGAAGCGGGAACCCCCCGAACAGAAGCAUCCAAGUAGGGGGAGGAAAAGAAACCAAUAUGGGAUUCCCUAAGUAGCGGCGAGCGAAAGGGGAAAAGCCUAAACCGAACCUAAACGGGAAACCGUUUAGGAAUGUGGGGUUGAAGGGGCCGACCGCACCUUCUCUCGUUAAGCCGAAGUGGCCUGAAACGGUCCGACAUAGAGGGUGACAUCCCCGUAGGCGUAAGCGAGAUAGGUUUGGGUCGGCAUCCCUGAGUACUACGCCUUGACUUUGGCGUGGGAACCUGGGAGAAAACAACUUCCAAGGCUAAAUACGUCCCGAGACCGAUAGCGCACUAGUACCGUGAGGGAAAGCUGAAAAGUACCCCGGAAGGGGGGUGAAAAGAGCCUGAAAUCAGGCGGUUACAGACGUGCGUGGUCUGAAAGGAUAGAACCCCUCUGAAGGAAACCUUGGCGACAUGGAAGUACGAGGAGGGGGGACCAAGAUCACGCGCUCCGUUUUGUACCACGGGCCGGGGAGUUCAUCCCCGUGGUGAGGCUAAGGGGUUUAAACCCGAAGCCGUAGGGAAACCGACAUGCUUAUAGCAUCCUUAAAGGAUGCGAGAAGCGAGGUCUAAAAGGGCCUGGAAUCACGGGGAUGAAGCUAGAAACCGAGCGAUCUAGCCCGGGGCAGGGCGAAGCCAGGCGAAAGCUUGGUGGAGGCCCGAAAGGGUGCUGACGUGCAAUUCGCUCCCCUGACCUUGGGCUAGGGGCAAAAGACUAAUCUAGCUCGGUGAUAGCUAGUUCCCGCCGAAAUAUCUCGCAGGAUAGCCUAGCUGGAGGUGGCUGAUGGGGUAGAGCUCUAAUUGGGAAGCAAGGGGUCGAAAGGCUCCACUUCCCAGUUAAACUCCGAAUCCAUCAGCACUUUAGAAGGCUGGAGACGGAUGUGGGGGGUAAGCUCCCACGUCGCGAGGGGAACAACCCAAACUAGGGUUAAGGCCCCAAAAUCCUGGCUAAGUGCAGAAAUUGAAGGAGGUCCUCAACCUAAGACAGCUGGGAGGUAGGCUUAGAAGCAGCCAUCCUCCAAGCAGUGCGUAACAGCUGACCAGCCGAGGUUGAGGGCGCCGAAAAUGGACGGGGCUAAGCCAGGUGCCGAUACCCUAGGUUGCAGCUUAAAAAAGCUGCAGCGGUAGGCGGGCGUUGCGGUUGGGCGGAAGCUGGAUCGUAAGCUCCAGUGGACCGGCCGCAAGCGCAGAUCCCGGCGGUAGUAGCAGCAAAGAGGGGUGAGAAUCCCCUCCGCCGUAGGGGCCAGGGUUCCCCGGCAAUGCGUCGUCAGCCGGGGGUAAGUCGAUCCUAAGGUGGUCUUUAACCGGAGCCACCGAAAGGGAAGCUGGUUAAAAUUCCAGCACCACAGGGAUACAUGCGGCAACGCAAGCCUGCAACCCAACGCUUCAGGAUAGGUUGAGUGGGGCUGUCGCCCUAUUUAACCGCUGAAGCCCAAGGAGUGCCGUAAUGGCGAGAAUUGGGUGAAGGCGGGAAUAGCCGCCCGUUUUUAGGGUGGUUCAACUGAUUCCUGGAGCCACGGAAAAGGGUUGUAGGAGGGAUUCUCUGUGCCCGUACCUAGAUCCGACACAGGUGCCCCUAGGUGAGAAGCCUCAGGCGUAUCGGGUGGAACUCGGGCGAGGGAACUCGGCAAAUUAGCCCCGUAACUUCGGGAUAAGGGGUGCCUGAAAUCUUAACCUUAAGGUUGGGGUUUCAGGUCGCAGUGACAAGGGGGGCGCGACUGUUUAAUAAAAACAUAGGUGGCCGCUAGCCCGAAAGGGUUUGUACGGCCAUUGAGUCCUGGCCAGUGGCGGUACCUGAAACCCGGGUUCAACCGGGCUAAGGGCCGCUAAACGCCGGGAGUAACUCUGACUCUCAUGUUUAGGGAGUCAUUAAACUCGGCUAUAUGCGGGGAAAGGUGAAUAGCCAAUCCCCUGAGAAAGGAAAAGCGAUUGGCUUUAUGACCCUGACCCGCAGGGAAUCAUCCGCCUGCAAAAACCUUUAUACUCUUUAAGCUACUACUUCAUAAUCGGUGAAGAGGCUUCCAACGAUGCUUAAUGAGUUUAAAACUAUAAUGGAUCCAAAGAAGCUGCCAAACCGAAGAAAAUAUCUUCACUACUAUAUUGUUGGCUUAGUGGAUGGUGAAGGUUGUUUCUCCAUCUCCAUUAAAAAACAGGAUAACACCAAGUUUGGAUGGGUAAUCGAUCCAGUAUUUCAUGUAACUCAAAGCAAAAAACAUCGUCAAAUCCUCGAAAUACUUAAAGCAACAUUCAGAUGUGGCCGUAUAAUUCCUAAACCUGGACAAGAAGAAACUGUAGUGCAAUAUGUUGUCGAUUCAAGAAAGCAUCUUGCAGAAAAAAUAAUACCUUUCUUUAAGAAGCAUAAACCGAUAAUUAAAUGGAAAGACUUCGAAGUCUUCACUGAAGUAGUGGAAGCGUUAGAGAAAGGCGAGCAUAAAACUGCGCAUGGCAUUAAAAAAUUAGUAAUUCAAGCGUACAAAAUAUCUAAAGAAAGAAAAUAUCAGCUUGGGGAAGUAUUAUCUGAAAUUAAUAGGCGGAUGGGCGCCUCAGAGACCAUACGCCGAGAACCGUAGGGCGAAACUGGAUAUGAGCUCGAAGGUGAAGAUAUGGUCCAACCCUUUUUAAAGGGGUUGCUUAAGGUAGCCAAAUGCCUUGUCGGGUAAGUUCCGACGUGCAUGAAUGGAUUAACGACGUCCCCGCUGUCCCCGCCCGGGGCCCGGUGAACCCACAUAACUUGGACGAACAGUCCAGGAUCUCCCAGCGGGGCGAGAAGUCCCCGUGGAGUUUUACUGCAGCUUGUCGCUGGGACACGGCUGCGGGUACAGAGCGUAGGUGGGAGCCGUCGAGGCGGAUCCCUCCGGGGAUCCGUGGAGGCGCCGAUGUAACACCACCUACUCGCGGCUGUAUCCCUAACCAGGCUUAGGCCUGAGACACCGGCAGGUGGGCAGUUUGGCUGGGGCGGCACCCCCUUGAAAAGGUAUCAAGGGGGCCCAAAGCUCAGCUCAUCCGGGACAGAAACCCGGAGUAGAGGGCAAGGCCAAAAGCUGGGCUGACUGGAUCCUCCAAGGCAAGGGAUCCAGAGGCGAAAGCCGGGCCUAGCGAUCACUCAUGUCCCCAUUGCUGGGGGCUGGGUGUGACAGAAAAGUUACCCCGGGAGUAAUUAGCUCGUCUCCCCCGAGAGUCCCCAUCGACGGGGAGGAUUGGUAUUCCGUCGUCGUCCGUUCCCAUCCUGGGUCCGCAGCAGGGCCCAAGGGUGCGGCUGUUCGCCGAUUAAAGGGGAAUCCGAGAUGGGUUUAGUCCGUCGUGAGACAGGACGGAUUCUACCUGCUGGGAGUGCUGGCCGCCUGAGGGGAAGGUGCCCCCAGUACGAGAGGAACGGGGCAUCGCGGCCUCUAGUCUACCGGUUGUCCGACAGGGCACCGCCGGGCAGCCACGCCGUCGGGGAUAAGGGCUGAAAGCAUCUAAGCCCGAAGCCCCUCCCGAAAAUAGGCGGCCAAUCCAGCCCAACCGCGGACCCGGCGACGGGCCCGCCGGGCUGGACGAGGGCUCCCAUAAAAGAUGGGGUUGAUGGAGCAGGGGUGUAAGCGCCGAGGCUUCGGCCGAGGCGUUCAGCCCGCUGCCCCCAAUCGCUCAAGGUGCCAAGCCU
rnacentral:rRNA from 1 species